AGCCAUGCGAGUCAUUGUAGCAAUACAAGGCAGACGGCUCAGUAACGCGUAGUCAAUCUACCCUGUUGACGGGGAUAACCUCGGGAAACUGAGAAUAAUACCCGAUAGAACAUUAUGCCUGGAAUGGUUUAUGUUUCAAAUGAUUUAUCGCAAUAGGAUGGGACUGCGGCCUAUCAGUUUGUUGGUGAGGUAAUGGCCCACCAAGACUAUUACAGGUACGGGCUCUGAGAGGAGUGGCCCGGAGAUGGGUACUGAGACACGGACCCAGGCCCUAUAGGGCGCAGCAGGCGAGAAAACUUUGCAAUGUGCGAAAGCACGACAAGGUUAAUCCGAGUGGUUUCUGCUAAAGAAACCUUUUGUCAGUCCUAGAAACACUGAUGAAUAAGGGGUGGGCAAGUUCUGGUGUCAGCCGCCGCGGUAAAACCAGCACCUCAAGUGGUCAGGAUGAUUAUUGGGCCUAAAGCAUCCGUAGCUUGUUUUGUAAGUUUUCGGUUAAAUCCAUACGCUUAACGUAUGGGCUGCCGGGAAUACUGCAUAACUAGGAAGUGGGAGAGGUAGACGGUACUCGGUAGGAAGGGGUAAAAUCCUUUGAUCUAUUGAUGACCACCUGUGGCGAAGGCGGUCUACCAGAACACGUUCGACGGUGAGGGAUGAAAGCUGGGGGAGCAAACCGGAUUAGAUACCCGGGUAGUCCCAGCUGUAAACUAUGCAAACUCAGUGAUGCAUUGGCUUGUGGCCAAUGCAGUGCUGCAGGGAAGCCGUUAAGUUUGCCGCCUGGGAAGUACGUACGCAAGUAUGAAACUUAAAGGAAUUGGCGGGGGAGCACCACAAGGGGUGAAGCCUGCGGUUCAAUUGGAGUC
rnacentral:rRNA from 1 species